UACGGGGGGAGCAAGCGUUGUUCGGAUUUACUGGGCGUAAAGGGCGCGUAGGCGGUAGCACAAGUCAGUUGUGAAAUCUCCGGGCUUAACUCGGAAAGGUCAACUGAUACUGUGCGACUAGAGUGCAGAAGGGGCAACUGGAAUUCCUGGUGUAGCGGUGAAAUGCGCAGAUAUCAGGAGGAACACCGGUGGCGAAGGCGGGUCUCUGGGCCGAUACUGACGCUGAGGAGCGAAAGCGUGGGGAGCGAACAGG
rnacentral:rRNA from 1 species